rnacentral:rRNA from 1 species
CCCUUAGAUGUUCUGGGCCGCACGCGCGCUACACUGACGAAGUCAGCGAGCAUGUCCUACGCCGACAGGUGCGGGGAAUCUUGUCAAACUUCGUCGUGAUGGGGAUUGAUUAUUGAAAUUCUUGAUCAUCAACGAGGAAUUCCUAGUAAGCGCAAGUCAGCAGCUUGCGUUGAUUACGUCCCUGCCCUGUGUACACACCGCCCGUCGCUACUACCGAUUGAAUGGUUUAGUGAGAUCUUCGGAUUGGCGCCACUGCGGCUCAGCAAUGGGCUCGGUGGAUGCCGAAAAGUUGAUCAAACUUGAUCAUUUAGAGGAAGUAAAAGUCGUAACA